rnacentral:rRNA from 1 species
UGUGUGUUCCAGGUAAAUCCGGUUCACUUUAACACUGAGGCGUGAUGACGAGGCACUACGGUGCUGAAGCAACAAAUGCCCUGCUUCCAGGAAAAGCCUCUAAGCAUCAGGUAACAUCAAAUCGUACCCCAAACCGACACAGGUGGUCAGGUAGAGAAUACCAAGGCGCUUGAGAGAACUCGGGUGAAGGAACUAGGCAAAAUGGUGCCGUAACUUCGGGAGAAGGCACGCUGACACGUAGGUGAAGUGAUUUACUCAUGGAGCUGAAGUCAGUCGAAGAUACCAGCUGGCUGCAACUGUUUAUUAAAAACACAGCACUGUGCAAACACGAAAGUGGACGUAUACGGUGUGACGCCUGCCCGGUGCCGGAAGGUUAAUUGAUGGGGUCAGCGCAAGCGAAGCUCCUGAUCGAAGCCCCGGUAAACGGCGGCCGUAACUAUAACGGUCCUAAGGUAGCGAAAUUCCUUGUCGGGUAAGUUCCGACCUGCACGAAUGGCGUAAUGAUGGCCAGGCUGUCUCCACCCGAGACUCAGUGAAAUUGAACUCGCUGUGAAGAUGCAGUGUACCCGCGGCAAGACGGAAAGACCCCGUGAACCUUUACUAUAGCUUGACACUGAACAUUGAGCCUUGAUGUGUAGGAUAGGUGGGAGGCUUUGAAGCGUGGACGCCAGUCUGCGUGGAGCCGACCUUGAAAUACCACCCUUUAAUGUUUGAUGUUCUAACGUGGACCCGUAAUCCGGGUUGCGGACAGUGUCUGGUGGGUAGUUUGACUGGGGCGGUCUCCUCCUAAAGAGUAACGGAGGAGCACGAAGGUUGGCUAAUCCUGGUCGGACAUCAGGAGGUUAGUGCAAUGGCAUAAGCCAGCUUGACUGCGAGCGUGACGGCGCGAGCAGGUGCGAAAGCAGGUCAUAGUGAUCCGGUGGUUCUGAAUGGAAGGGCCAUCGCUCAACGGAUAAAAGGUACUCCGGGGAUAACAGGCUGAUACCGCCCAAGAGUUCAUAUCGACGGCGGUGUUUGGCACCUCGAUGUCGGCUCAUCACAUCCUGGGGCUGAAGUAGGUCCCAAGGGUAUGGCUGUUCGCCAUUUAAAGUGGUACGCGAGCUGGGUUUAGAACGUCGUGAGACAGUUCGGUCCCUAUCUGCCGUGGGCGCUGGAGAACUGAGGGGGGCUGCUCCUAGUACGAGAGGACCGGAGUGGACGCAUCACUGGUGUUCGGGUUGUCAUGCCAAUGGCACUGCCCGGUAGCUAAAUGCGGAAGAGAUAAGUGCUGAAAGCAUCUAAGCACGAAACUUGCCCCGA